rnacentral:tRNA from 2 species
GCCGCUGUGGCGGAAUUGGCAGACGCACUUGACUCAAAAUCAAGCGGGGCAACUCGUACCGGUUCGAGUCCGGUCAGCGGCA